AGCGAACGCUGGCGGCAGGCCUAACACAUGCAAGUCGAACGAACCUUUCGGGGUUAGUGGCGGACGGGUGAGUAACACGUGGGAACGUGCCUUUAGGUUCGGAAUACCUCAGGGAAACUUGUGCUAAUACCGAAUGUGCCCUUCGGGGGAAAGAUUUAUCGCCUUUAGAGCGGCCCGCGUCUGAUUAGCUAGUUGGUUGAGGUAAUGGCUCACCAAGGCGACGAUCAGUAGCUGGUCUGAGAGGAUGAUCAGCCACAUUGGGACUGAGACACGGCCCAAACUCCUACGGGAGGCAGCAGUGGGGAAUCUUGCGCAAUGGGCGAAAGCCUGACGCAGCCAUGCCGCGUGAAUGAUGAAGGUCUUAGGAUUGUAAAAUUCUUUCACCGGGGACGAUAAUGACGGUACCCGGAGAAGAAGCCCCGGCUAACUUCGUG
rnacentral:rRNA from 1 species